UUGACAGAGACAAGAUGUGACUGGAUCCAAGGCAGGCAGCAAGUACGAGCUCUAGUUUACGUCUGUCUCCAGGCGCUAGCUUCUCCUUUCAACGGAGCAGGAGAAGAGUACACACGCAGGAAAGCCAAGCACUAAGAGUGUGGUCAAAAGUUUUCAAGAGGUGCAUGUAUUUGGAGGUGGGAGGAACCCGGAGUACCAGGAGAGAACCCACGCAGUCAUUGGGAGAACAUACCAACUUACACACAGACAUGGAAACAGACGUCUUCCUUCCGUGUUCCUUCCUCAUAUCAUUGUCCUGCCUAGCGGAGUCUGAGGUUGGCAACAGCAGGCUCUGCUCAACGCAAGAUGAUAAACAGUGACUGCCAAGCACUGAGCCAGAUGGUCAUGGAGAGGGUG